AUUGAACGCUGGCGGCAGGCCUAACACAUGCAAGUCGAGCGGAGCGGCGGACGCGUGAGUAAUGCCUAGGUCUCUGCCUGGUAGUGGGGGAUAACGUCCGGAAACGGGCGCUAAUACCGCAUCCUAUCAGAUGAGCCUUGGUCGGAAUAGCUUGUGGGUGGGGUAAAGGCAUACCAAGGCGACGGACCGUAACUGGUCUGAGAGGAUGAUCAGUCACACUGGAACUGAGACACGGUCCAGACUCCUACGGGAGGCAGCAGUGGGGAAUAUUGGACAAUGGGCGAAAGCCUGAUCCAGCCAUGCCGCGUGUGUGAAGAAGGUCUUCGGAUUGUAAAGCACUUUAAGCUGGGAGGCGUUACCAACAGAAUAAGCACCGGAUAACUUCGUGCCAGCAGCCGCGGUAAUUC
rnacentral:rRNA from 1 species